CCUGGCAGGGCUGCCGCAGGAGACGCACAGCGUAGUUGUGAGGGACAUUGCUGAUGUCCAUCCCGUUGACCUGGGGGCAGGUGGAACAAUCGUGCGGUCAGCUCCACCUGCCACAACCCUUCCUGAAAGAUCCAGGCCCACAGAAAAGCCAGGAUCCUGUCUUUAAAGACUGCUCUGCUCUCCCACCUCAUCCUGUGUCCAAUAACCGCACCUUCCAACAGCGUUUCUAACCCUGUUCUCUCCAAGCGUGGCCUGCAGCACCUCUCCAGGCCUCUGUGCUGACAGCUGCCUCACCUUAAGAGUCUCCUUUCGUUAUGGCAUCUGGAAAGAUCUCACAUGGCAGGCCUGCUUCUAGUUCCUUCUUCCUAGUGUGUCUGAGGAAAUCCAAUCUCUCCCACUCCAGCCCGCCUACUCAUUGAACAUGGCUGCUAUCUCUGUCUUCUGGAAACACGGCUCCAAUCCUGCAACAACUCUAUACAAGAGCUCCCAGUGAAAGCUUUCACUAGACCUUGAUGGCACUAUGGUCAUUAUCUUGUCAAAACUGUGGUGGAUUUGAAGAGCUAGUGAUGAAGAAUGGAGGUUUCCUGUCCUAGAAAUAACCAAAGGCCCAGGCUUGGAGGUGGCAGAAAAAGUGGCACUUAAGGAACAUGGACGGAGCUGGAGGCUACUAUCCUUAGCAAACUAAUGCAGGAACAGAAAACCAAAUGCUGCAUAUCUAAGUGGGAGCUGAAUGUUACUAGCCCAGUAUUUGGAAUUUGCCAAAGCUAUAUUCCUCAGAAUUUACUUCAAGAGCUCCUUUGUAUCGGCGGAGAAUGAAGAACGGAGAAGAGGAGGAGGAGGUUGAAAGAAACUUAAGAGAUGUGGCAACUAAUUGCAACGUGUAGAUUGUAUUUAGCUCAUGAUUCACACAAACUAGAUAUUUGUUAUUAAAGAAUUAUGGUUGUUUUUGGUGUGAUAUUAGUAUUGUGCUCACAUUUCUUAAGAAUCUAUCUUUAGAGAUAGGUGCUGAAAUUCUUGCAGAUGAAAUGACAUUAUCAUCUGAGAUGUGCUUCAAAAACAGUUAAAGGAG
rnacentral:lncRNA from 1 species